CGACCUUGAAAUACCACCCUUUAAUGUUUGAUGUUCUAACGUGGACCCGUGAUCCGGGUUGCGGACAGUGUCUGGUGGGUAGUUUGACUGGGGCGGUCUCCUCCUAAAGAGUAACGGAGGAGCACGAAGGUUGGCUAAUCCUGGUCGGACAUCAGGAGGUUAGUGCAAUGGCAUAAGCCAGCUUGACUGCGAGCGUGACGGCGCGAGCAGGUGCGAAAGCAGGUCAUAGUGAUCCGGUGGUUCUGAAUGGAAGGGCCAUCGCUCAACGGAUAAAAGGUACUCCGGGGAUAACAGGCUGAUACCGCCCAAGAGUUCAUAUCGACGGCGGUGUUUGGCACCUCGAUGUCGGCUCAUCACAUCCUGGGGCUGAAGUAGGUCCCAAGGGUAUGGCUGUUCGCCAUUUAAAGUGGUACGCGAGCUGGGUUUAGAACGUCGUGAGACAGUUCGGUCCCUAUCUGCCGUGGGCGCUGGAGAACUGAGGGGGGCUGCUCCUAGUACGAGAGGACCGGAGUGGACGCAUCACUGGUGUUCGGGUUGUCAUGCCAAUGGCACUGCCCGGUAGCUAAAUGCGGAAGAGAUAAGUGCUGAAAGCAUCUAAGCACGAAACUUGCC
rnacentral:rRNA from 1 species